GACGAACGCUGGCGGCGUGCUUAACACAUGCGAGUCGAACGCUGAAGCUUGGUGCUUGCACUGGGUGGAUGAGUGGCGAACGGGUGAGUAAUACGUGAGUAACCUGCCCUUGACUCUGGGAUAAGCCUGGGAAACUGGGUCUAAUACUGGAUACGACAUGUCACCGCAUGGUGGUGUGUGGAAAGGGGUUUCGUGGUUUUGGAUGGGCUCACGGCCCAUCAGCUUGUUGGGGGGGUAAUGGCACACCAAGGCGACGACGGGUAGCCGGCCUGAGAGGGUGACCGGCCACACUGGGCCUGAGAGACGGCCCAGACUCCUACGUUAGGCAGCAGUGGGGAAUAUUGCACAAUGGGCGGAAGCCUGAUGCAGCGACGCCGCGUGAGUGAUGACGUCCUUCGGGUUGUAAACCUCUUUCAGCGCGGAAGAAGCGAAAGUGACGGUACGUGCAGAAGAAGCGCCGGCUAACUACGUG
rnacentral:rRNA from 1 species